GGGAGAUCGCGGGGGUCCCAGCCGUUGGAACUGUAACUUUUAGGAUAGGGGAUGAGUUUUCAUAUCCCGGAGUACUCCUUUAACUUGUGGAACUUGAUUUGUGGUCAUAAGGAUAAGGGGGUCCCAGAGGCCAGAUCCUAAGACCAUUUACGUUUUGUCCCUUCAGUCCUAUCCACUCGCUGUGCAGGAAACUGAAGAAUGGCUUCAUUGAAAGCAAGAGGCCAUCACUUUAUGGCAGUGGUCUCCAACCUGCAGACCUCCAGAUGUUGCAAAACUACAACUCCCAGCAUGUCUGGACAGCAAAAUAGUUUUUUCCCCCUACAAUUUCAGAAAAAUUACAUAAAAAAAUGUGACGCGUGAACACAGCAUCAGAAGAGGUGUAUAACUGCUAUAUAUCCUGAUCCCAUAAAGGUAGAAGCAGUAUACAGAUAGAGCUGAAGGGGGAGGGGAAUAACUACUUCCAUAUAUCCUGAUCCCAAAGAGAUAGCAGCAGUAUACAGAUAGAGCUGGUAGGAAGGUGUAUAACUAAUAUAGUCUGGUCCCAUAGAGAUAGAGCUGGUAGGGAGGUGUAUAACUAAUAUAUUCUGGUCGCAUAGAGAUAGCAGCAGUAUACAGAUAGAGCUGGUAGGGAGGUAUAUAACUAAUAUAUUCUGGUCCCAUAGAGAUAGCAGCAGUAUACAGAUAGAGCUGGUAGGAAGGUGUAUAACUAAUAUAUUCUGGUCCCAUAGAGAGAGAGCUGGUAGGGAGGUAUAUAACUAAUAUAUUCUGGUCCCAUAGAGAUAGCAGCAGUAUACAGAUAAAGCUGGUAGGGAGGUGUAUAACUAAUAUAUUCUGGUCCCAUAGAGAUAGCAGCAGUAUACAGAUAGAGCUGGUAGGGAGGUGUAUAACUAAUAUAUUCUGGUCCCAUAGAGAUAGCAGCAGUAUACAGAUAGAGCUGGUAGGGAGGUGUAUAACUAAUAUAUUCUGGUCCCAUAGAGAUAGCAGCAGUAUACAGAUAGAGCUGGUAGGGAGGUGUAUAACUAAUAUAUUCUGGUCCCAUAGAGAUAGAGCUGGUAGGGAGGUAUAUAACUAAUAUAUUCUGGUCCCAUAGAGAUAGCAGCAGUAUACAGAUAGAGCUGGUAGGGAGGUGUAUAACUAAUAUAUUCUGGUCCCAUAGAGAUAGCAGCAGUAUACAGAUAGAGCUGGUAGGGAGGUGUAUAACUAAUAUAUUCUGGUCCCAUAGAGAUAGCAGCAGUAUACAGAUAGAUCUGGUAGGGAGGUGUAUAACUAAUAUAUUCUGGUCCCAUAGAGAUAGCAGCAGUAUACAGAUAGAUCUGGUAGGGAGGUGUAUAACUAAUAUAUAUAUCCUGGUCCCAUAGAGAUAGCAGCAGCAGUAUACAGAUAGUGCUGAGAGGGGUCAGAUAGAUGAUUAUAGCAUCUGUUAGUUAACAGGAAGUCAUCUGAUCCAGGACUGACCACUUUCUCUGACAAGUGUUUUCUGUGGGUCACAUUGGCGAUCACAUGACCCACUUACAAUAAUGGAUACAUGCAGAUGUGCUGGACACAGAGAGGGAGAUUUAUCAAAA